UGUUAUUAUAAUAAAAAGGAAAGGCAUAAGAAAGUGGGGGGAGAUGGAUUAUCUUUCUGCCGAAUGAAAAGGGGAAGAAAAGAAGAAAACCAGCUGGGUAUUCGGCCCUUCCUCAAGCAAAUUAAGAUUUAUGGUUACGAAACCACUGUUCCGAUUAGGCCCUAUUUCGAGCUAUCACAUCAAAGCCUUUGACGAGUGUGCACAAAACGCUUCAUGGAAGUCAACCGAUUAAAUGGGGCUCAUUUGACCCACUUAAAUUGGCCUGAUUCUUGGAACACAUGAAGAAACCCAUCUAUUUGAAGCAUUGGCGGCCUAAUGAAACACUCCAGUAAAACUAAAGUUACCAGAGUAAUUAUUGUAAAUCCUAAAGGGUAAAUAUGUAUAAAGUUGAAAUCUCUUAAGACCCUCUAUUGUAGAUGGGAGCUAAUUUCAAUUAUUGAUUUAAUUCAAUUUGUACCGUUGGAUUUGAGGAAGCUCAACUAUAAAUAGAGGUCUUCCCUUCAUUUAUAAUCAUUCCAUUCAUAGUUUUGAAUAUAUUUAAUAGUAGUUACUCAAACACUUGAUGUGUGCUA